AAGUCGUAACAAGGUCUCCGUAGGUGAACCUGCGGAGGGAUCAUUAACACGUUAAUAUAUCCAUUAAACACCGCGAACUCGUUCGUUCUGACAGGGUGGUCCGGGUGGGAGUGUCGACCCUGGGUGGGCUAAAACUCAUCCAGUUGAAUCAGAUGCCCUGUCCGCGAUCGCAGCUGUUACCCUUCGUAUUUUUUUACUCCAAAAACAUUUGUCCCAGAAACAUUGAGUACUCUAACGGGGCUCAAUUAAAACUAACAUACGUACAACUCUUGGCAACGGAUAUCUUGGUUCUC
rnacentral:misc_RNA from 1 species